CGAUGUGAGGGCCAUCUGCCUGUGACACCCGUCACCACACUGAUCUCCAGGCUUGACUCAGCCCAUGUGGCUGCCCAAGCCCAGGUCCCCUUCCUCACCCAGCGCUCCAUGUGCAUCCCUCCCAAAGCUGCUGGGGCACAGAGUACAACCUCCCCGAUACAGACAGUAUAUUUUAUCACUCAAGUCUAUUUGGCAGCUGCGCUCCUUGCCACAACCUUCAAACCCAACCAAGCUCCAUUCCUUCAUAGGAGGGUUUUCCCAGUAGUCAGACAUAAAAUUUUAGGCAAAAUGAGACU
ensembl:misc_RNA 7SK 7SK RNA